GGACCCAGGCCUUAGGCUUUGACCUACUACAACAUGAGGUCAUAGAGGUCAUGUAGAUAAUGGGGCCUUGGGUGGGGAGAGGACAGUCACUCUACUAGCCUCACUAUGCCCACAGCCCGAGUCCAGGCUCUCGAGUGACUUACCCAUUCUCUUCCUUAGGGGAGAAGAAUGCAGGUGUGUUUGGGUGGAUUUGUAUAUGUGUGUGCUUGUGUGAGUGCAUGUGUGUGUGUAUGCUUAUAUUUCUUGUUCUGAGUUCUUUAAGGAAGCAGAAUUAAGCUUCCCCCUUCAGCAGCCUCCUGAAGCAAUUUGCUGUGCUGUAUUAUCAGCUGCUGAUGACUUCUUUGUGAGGUUAGGUAAGGGUCCUGAAGGACAUGGGAGAAGUAUAAAACAGGACUUAGACUGAGAAACAAGCAGUAAUUCUCAACAUUGGUCAUACUUUGGAAUUACCUGGGAGCUUUUAAAACUAUAGAUACCUGGAUCCUACCCCCAGGGAUUCUGAUUUAAUUGGUCUGGAGUAUGCCUAGGCAUCAGGAUUUCUAAAAGCUCCUCAGGCAGUUCUGAUGUGCAGCCUAACUUGAAACACAUUAUUAAUGAGUGGGUUACAAUUGCAGUGAAAACCAGGUGUGUGUGUAGGAGGGUGCCAUAUGAGUGGUGGCAGUGUGGAGGAUAAGAAUCUAAUUGGGUAAUGUUGCCUUAGUAACUGGAGAGGACUUUUAGGAAGCCAGAAUUACCCAGGUAAAUUUGAGGAAAUUUUUUUUCAUGUACCACUCCCUGACCUAGGCUGAUCUGUGUAUAGCUGACUCUCUCCUGCUGCAGCCCUAAUCUAUGUGUGAUUUCCCUUUGUGUCUCUGUUCAGAGAUCUCAACCUGGUGUUUGCUGGAGAACAGUGGUUUUUCCUUGGGGAAGAGCCACUCUGUGGAGCCUUUCUAGUAACUUCUGCUCUGCCUCUUAUCUGUCUAAAGAGUCUUCUCUUGAGUCCCUCUGGAGAGUCUCCUGUGUUCCUAGGAAGACCACUUCUGUAUGGGGAGCAUCCUUUCCUAUCCUGGCCCAGCAGGUAGGGCUGUCCCAUGAAGUUGGCCAUAGUCUGAGCUGGCUGAGGUGGCACAAGGAAUGGUCCUACAUGGUGUAACUGGCCUCAGGGGAGGAGUCCAAGGAUUGAAAGUUGCUGAAGGAAAACAGAUGACAACUGAGUUCUGGAUGGAGUUGAUGAGCCUAAGGGCUGGGCUGUUUGGGCCAUAGCCUGCUUAUUGGGUUGCCUCCAGUGUGGCACAUUCUGGGGUUUCCGUGGACAGAUCAUCUGCAACAUAUCUGAGUGGUGACUGGACUAAAGAACAUGAGAGGAACAAAACAGUCAGGGGCUGUUAUUUAGGGAACAUGGGGUUCUCUGCAAGAACCUCCAGGGUACUAUAGAAUAGUGUUGAUAGAACUUUUGGAGGGAUAAAGAGCCCUAACAAGUCUCCUCACUUCUCUUAGGCUACAGGGAUAACUGUACAAGGCCCUAAUCCCUUAUUUGAAAGCUUUAGGGAUAGAUGUGUUUUGGAUGUCAGAAUUUUAGAAAGGGAAUAUAGUGCCUUUGUCCUAUAUAAAGGAGUACCCCAGAGAGGUUUAGGGCAGUGCCCUAUAAUUGAACACAUCAAUAUUUCUGAACCUAAAUGUAUGAAUAUUCACACCAAGUGAGAUAAAUAAAUACUGUAAAUACCAUUAUGAUGUUUCAGGUUAGGUUUUGGACCAAAGUUAUAACAAAAAAAUAUUGUUUCUUCAGAAAUUUUUUUUUAUUUUGGAACUGUGGAUAAGGGAUUAUAGGAUUACUCUCAGGUUAUUGUGAGGAGGGAGUGCUGGUAGUCUUCUAAACACAUCACAUGGUAGGUGUGUGAUCUCAAUCUAAAACAAAAUAACUAAUGUCCAAGAGGGUGGAAUUUGGCUUGAAGAAAGAAGGUUCUUGGAGUGGGCAAUGCACAACUUUGGAAAUCAGGUGCCUUGGGGAGCUGUGCACAACCAGGGAAUGAAGGUGCCUUAGACAAGAGGUUUCCUGUGGUGGGAAGGUGACAGAAUUCAUUGCUUAUGAACAUUGACUGCAUAGGAUUUCCCUUUUCAUGUACUAGAGGGGAAAGGCAAAAAAUGUGCGUGUGUGUAUGUGUGACACAGGACGUCACAUACACAUUUCUUUAUAAUAAUGUUGUAAUAAAUAUCUUACUGCAUACA